rnacentral:rRNA from 1 species
AGCCAUGCCGCGUGUGUGAAGAAGGCCUUCGGGUUGUAAAGCUCUUUUGUUUGGGAAGAAACGGCGUGGGCUAAUACCCGGUGCUCAUGACGGUACCGGGAGAAGAAGCACCGGCUAACUACGUGCCAGCAGCCGCGGUAAUACGUAGGGUGCGAGCGUUAAUCGGAAUUACUGGGCGUAAAGCGUGCGCAGGCGGUUUGGUAAGACAGAUGUGAAAUCCCCGGGCUCAACCUGGGAACUGCAUUUGAGACUGCUGGGCUUGAGUGUGGCAGAGGGGGGUGGAAUUCCUCGUGUAGCAGUGAAAUGCGUAGAGAUGUGGAGGAACACCGAUGGCGAAGGCAGCCCCCUGGGACUACACUGACGCUCAUGCACGAAAGCGUGGGGAGCAAACAGGAUUAGAUACCC